rnacentral:rRNA from 1 species
AUUGAACGCUGGCGGCAGGCCUAACACAUGCAAGUCGAGCGGCAGCGGAAAGUAGCUUGCUACUUUGCCGGCGAGCGGCGGACGGGUGAGUAAUGUCUGGGAAACUGCCUGAUGGAGGGGGAUAACUACUGGAAACGGUAGCUAAUACCGCAUAAUGUCGCAAGACCAAAGAGGGGGACCUUCGGGCCUCUUGCCAUCAGAUGUGCCCAGAUGGGAUUAGCUAGUAGGUGGGGUAACGGCUCACCUAGGCGACGAUCCCUAGCUGGUCUGAGAGGAUGACCAGCCACACUGGAACUGAGAAACGGUCCAGACUCCUACGGGAGGCAGCAGUGGGGAAUAUUGCACAAUGGGCGCCAGCCUGAUGCAGCCAUGCCGCGUGUAUGAAGAAGGCCUUCGGGUUGUAAGGUACUUUCAGCGGGGAGGAAGGUGUUGAGGUUAAUAACCUCAGCAAUUGACGUUACCCGCAGAAGAAGCACCGGCUAACUCCGUGCCAGCCGCCGCGGUAACAC